AUCCAGCUGACGAGUCCCAAAUAGGACGAAACGCGCAUUAAACUGGAU
rnacentral:hammerhead_ribozyme from 1 species